UUGUUCGCAUUGGGCGCAAGCCUGACGACGCAACGCCGCGUGGAGGAUGAAGACCUUCGGGUCGUAAACUCCUUUCGACCGAGAUGAAUUCCUGAUGACCUAAUACGUCGUCAGGGUGACAGUAUCGAGGGAAGCAGCCCCGGCUAACUCCGUGCCAGCAGCCGCGGUAAUACGGGGGGGGCAAGCGUUGUUCGGAAUUACUGGGCGUAAAGGGUUCGUAGGUGGCCAACUAAGUCAGACGUGAAAUCCCUCGGCUCAACCGGGGAACUGCGUCUGAGACUGGAUGGCUCGAGUGCAGGAGAGGAACGCGGAAUUCCAGGUGUAGCGGUGAAAUGCGUAGAUAUCUGGAGGAACACCGGUGGCGAAGGCGGCGUUCUGGACUGCUACUGACACUGAGGAACGAAAGCCAGGGGAGCAAACGGG
rnacentral:rRNA from 1 species